rnacentral:lncRNA from 1 species
AUGUGUUUUAAUCCUCAAUCUAUGUUGUACUUGGCUCUGUCCUUCUCCUCCACAGAUUCAAGACAAAAAGGUAUGAGGAGCAAUUACCGCACACAGGUGUCUGCACCCAGGCACUAUGCCAGUCAACGCUCAUCUUUCAAUGGAGUGCACGAUAAAUCAAGAUCCCCUGUUACCACUAAAACCUCCUGCGGGCUGCCUAGAUCCUCCGUGUGGGACAGAACCCCCCCAAAACAACACAACACAACAUCCUCGGCCGGGGGUCUGGUCGACGACAGGAACCCAGAGAAGUGUGUCACAAGUGUGACCUUGUAUCCAAAGAUACAGCGGAACGGCACAGAGGAGCACUUCAGGCACCAGGAGGUGCACGAGGAGGUGACCUACGCCGAGCCCCUGUCUCCUCCCAAUGAGCAGGAGGCCCUUGAGGAAUCUUUGGUUCAUCAACCAACUAUGGAGAGUCCCGUCAUGCACUCGAUGAUCAGCUGUAAGGUGGAGUCCGGAUUGAACACUUUUAAACCUGCUUUCAAUGCUGAGGAAAAACAUUGGCAAAUUCCCAUAAAAGAAAAAGCCAUAUAUCGUGUUGACACAGAAGAGAGAUCAGCACCUUUCUUGGACAAGAAUAGGGAAAAUUAUUCAAAGCCCACUCCUUUUGAUGCUUGGGUGGAGCCAGGGCAGGCAUUAGGGGAUACCUCAGACUCUGAGGCCGAAGCAGUGUACGAGCCAAGAGUGGGAUCCAACACAAGCGACCUAGCUUCCGAGGGAGAGCCUGAGGCAAGUAUCUUCGACCAGGUGGUCUUCAACCCAGAGGAGAAUGCCGCAGGCAUCCAUGCAGAUGGCUCGCUGCUCCGCAAGGUUCAAAGCGAGAGUGAAGAUAAGCUGUACCCUGACGGAGAAGAAAUGGACACCUGGGAUAGUGUCAUAGAGAGAAAGGCGGAGCUGAAGAAAGAACAGAGCUUGGAAAUGGACACCCGACAUGCAGAACCGGAAGAUAUGUCAGCAAGGGAGCCAGGGCAGCAAGAAGUGGCAAAAGUGAAUGUAGUUGCCUUUACGGAAGAAGAUGUUCAUUCAAGCUUGAUUGUUACACCCACUGGGACACAAUUCAGCGACACCAAUCAAGACCAGAUCCCACUUUUGGAGCAAGGGCAAGAAAAUGUAAACAAUGAGGAAGAGGAUGAAGAGGAUGAGGACUCUCAGAAUGUGUCUGUAUCAUGGAGGACGGAGGUUGAGAGUGACAGUUACGCACAGGACAAUACGUUGGCCGACACCCGACCCCUGAUCCAGUACAAGAGCGAUGAGGCUGACGGAAACAACCAGGCCUCACACUGUGAUGAUCUGGAAUCGAGCGAUGGGGAAGACAAGAUGGAGGCUGGAGGAACAGGAAGUGGAACCUGGAGUGACGGCAAGUCAAAGAGAUUUGGAACCAUGGACGAUCUGUGCGAAGAGACGGACGAGGACGCAGAGAAAGUGGGCUACGACAUGAGCUAUGCUCACGGUGACGACCAGGAUGUUGUUACAAAGGAGCAUGCCACAUUGAGAACAGAUUGUGAAGAGGAAAAGGAACAAGUUCAAAUGAUUAUGAAAGACGGCCGAGAGCAUUCAGAUGAGGAGACAGAAGACCUCACCCAGCGGGUGAUACCCAAGAAAUACUCGAAUGUGAAUAUGGAUUACAGUGAAGAUUUAGAGAAUGUGGACAGACUAGUGGAGCUAGAGUUGGAGGGCUUGUCCACCACCACAUAUACUGCACACUUUGCAAAGCAUCAGGCUAGCAAGAGUGAGAUAGCAACGUCCAUCCAGGAAGCCAAACCACAAGGGGUCGGCGAGACAAUCGGAGAGGAAAUGUUUAUCCGUGUAGAGCAUAGCAUGAAGGCGCACCAGGAACUUCUUUCAACCAGCGCCACAAACGAUAGGCCCAAUGAGCAGCUGUUCCUUGAUGACACCCAAUACAUUCAGGAUGAGGAUGAGGAAGCCAGGAAUACUCUGAUCACAGAAAACAACGAUAGUAAUGCGGCCAUUGUAACAGACGAUGAAUCUGUUGCAAUUGACUUCAAUGAGGGGUUUGAUGGCCAGGAGAUCAUCGAUGACUGUGUUAUGGAGCUAUCAAACGGCUCAGGAGAUGAGUCCCCCAAUGAUAGCCCAUACCGACCACCCAUUUCCACCGAGCAGGGAACUUCAGACCUUCAAGAUGCCUUGGUAGAGGCAACGGUCUAUCAUGAGCUACACAAGGCUGAAACUGUGGAGGAAUCUGAAGCUCCUCCAAAGCAUUCUGUGGAUGUUGAUACAGACCAAGAGGUUUGUUCAGUAGCUGCACAGAUAGUGAAAUGGGAAGGUAUAGGGAACCCUGCUGAGGCUACUGGUCAGUUUGCAGCAGGUGAAAGGUGUGAGAAUGUGGAAGCCACAACUGAAAGCAAUUUGGAUUUCCCUGAAGCCAUGCAAGACGAGAGGGAUAUUCUUCAGGUAAAGAGCUCAACAGAAUCUAUAAUGACAAAUUAUAAAAUCGAAAAAGACCUUCACAGUUUCUCCAGCUCAGAUGUAGAUGCAGAUUUCUUGGGUUCUUCUGUGUUGACGGGUGCCAACUAUCAACCAAAAUCUUCCUUUCAAGAAGCCACUGGGGAAGUUAGUCCGAACCACAGCCAAGGUGACAACCUAGUUUUGGGUAGUUUAGACGAACAGCAUGUAGCGAUGGGGAUCUCAAGGAUGGAGGGGGGCAUGGCUACAAGCCAGGUUACCAAGGGAGAGUUUGAGCAGAGGUCCUCAGAGAGGAAGCUGUAUGAAUGCAAGGAUGCCGCUGAGGAGGGCCUGACUCAUUCAGAGGACUCUGAAGAAGAGGGCCAUUCCUGGUCCUCUGGGGAGGAGUAG